CCCCUGGUGUAGUGGUUUGAGUGUUGGACUACAGCUCUAGAGGUCAGGGUUCGAUUCCCUGCUUGAGCA